GAAAAAUACUGGGAUGACUUGUGAUUAGGGGUGAAAGGCCAAUCAAACUUAGAGAUAGCUGGUUUUCCGCGAAAUCUAUUUAAGUAGAGCGUUUUUUUUUAAGCCACGGGGUAGAGCUCUCAAUAAACUAGGGGGUUAACUCUUACCAAAUUUACUGAAACUACGAAUACGUGUGUGUUGAAAAAAAGCAGACAGACAUUGGAUGCGAAGGUCUUCUGUCAAAAGGGAAACAGCCCAGAUCGCCCGCUAAGGUCUUCAAUAAUUAUUUAAGUGAAUAAAGCAGUGAUUAAACGAAAACAAUCAAUAGGUAGGCUUGGAAGCAGCCACCCUUUAAAGAAAGCGUAACAGCUCGUUGAUUCAGUUUUGUCGCGCUGAAAAUGUAUAGAGACUAAAAUGUUAACCGAAGCGGCGAAUUGUUUUAAUGGUAGCGGAACGUUCUGUAUUUUUUAGAAGGUAAAUUGUAAAAUUUAUUGGAGAAAUCAGAAGUGAGUAUACUGGCAUGAGUAGCGAUAAAUAAUGUGAAAAACAUUAUCACCGUAAAUCCAAGGGUUUCGUAGCACGGCUAAUCCGCUACGAUAAAAUUUUACAAUUUUACAAAAAGACGGCCUCUAAGAAAUGUUGAGCGAAAGCUUACUUCAAUGAGUAAUAUUUAUAUUUUUCUUAAAGUAUGUGACGGAAUUUGAAGCUUAUUAAAAUUUAUUAGUCUGUAAAAAUUUCCAAGAAAUAGCUGCUUUAUUAAAAACCGUACUGAAUCCGACACAGGUGGAUAGGUUGAGUAAACUAAGGUGCUUGAACGAACUUUGUUGAAGGAACUCGGCAAAAUAACCCCGUAACUUCGGGAGAAGGGGUGACUUUUUUAGGGCAACCUAUAAAAGUUGACACAAAAAUGGAGGUAGCGACUGUUUAAUAAAAACACAGGUUUCUGCUAAUUUGUAAAAAGAUGUAUAGAAACUGACACCUGCCCAGUGCUGCAAGGUAAAUAUGUUAUUGUUUUGGCUUUAAUUUUAAACCCCAGUAAACGGCGGCGGUAACUCUGACCGUCCAAAGGUAGCGAAAUUCUUUGUCGGGUAAGUUCCGACCUGCAUGAAUGGUGUAACGACUUCCUUACUGUCUCCAACAAAGAUUCAGUGAAAUUGAAAUUCCUGUGAAGAUGCAGGUUAUACGCAGCAAGACGGAAAGACCCCGUGCACUUUUACUAUAAGCAUACACCGCGAUCAGUUUUAAAUUGUGUAGAUAUAAGUGGGAGCUGUUUGAAAUCUUUACGUAAGUAAAUUGUUUAGGCAUUAGUGAAAUACCACUCUUUUUUUAAUUAUUCGCUUACUUUUNANUAAAGGACUCUGUAUGCUUGGUAGUUUCGCUGGGGCGGCGACCUCCUAAAAAGUAACGGAGGUGCGCAAAGGUAAACUUAAAUAAUUAGAAUUAUUUUUAAGCGUAAUAGUAAUGUUUGCCUGACUGUAAGAUUGAUAAAUCGAGCAGAGACGAAAGUCGGUUAUAAUGAUCCGGUGGUUUUUAGUGGAAAAGCCAUCGCCAACAAAUAAAAAGUACGCCGGGGAUAACAGGCUGAUGCCUCCCUAGAGCUCUUAUCGACGGAGGCGUUUGGCACCUCGAUGUCGGCUCAUCACAUCCUAGAGCUGAAGAAGGUUCUAAGGGUUGGGCUGUUCGCCCAUUAAAGUGGUACGUGAGCUGGGUUUAGAACGUCGUGAGA
rnacentral:rRNA from 1 species